rnacentral:rRNA from 1 species
ACGGGGAGCAGCAGGCGCGAAGACUUUACAAUGCCGGCAACGGCGAUAAGGGAACCUCGAGUGCCAGAUUACAAAUCUGGCUGUCGUGAUGCCUAAAAAGCAUUGCAUAGCAAGGGCCGGGCAAGACCGGUGCCAGCCGCCGCGGUAACACCGGCGGCUCGAGUGGUAACCGUUAUUAUUGGGUCUAAAGGGUCUGUAGCCGGCCGGAUAAGUCUCUUGGGAAAUCCAGCAGCUCAACUGUUGGGCUUUCAGGAGAUACUGUCUGGCUCGAGGCCGGGAGAGGUGAGAGGUACUUCAGGGGUAGGGGUGAAAUCUUGUAAUCCUUGAAGGACCACCAGUGGCGAAGGCGUCUCACCAGAACGGACCUGACGGCAAGGGACGAAAGCUAGGGGCACGAACCGGAUUAGAUACCCGGGUAGUCCUAGCCGUAAACGAUACUCGCUAGGUGUCGGCCACGGUGCGACCGUGGUCGGUGCCGUAGGGAAGCCGUGAAGCGAGCCACCUGGGAAGUACGGCCGCAAGGCUGAAACUUAAAGGAAUUGGCGGGGGAGCAC